rnacentral:rRNA from 5 species
UGGUGGCGAUAGCGAAGAGGUCACACCCGUUCCCAUACCGAACACGGAAGUUAAGCUCUUCAGCGCCGAUGGUAGUCGGGGGGUUCCCCCUGUGAGAGUAGGACGCCGCCAAGCA